rnacentral:rRNA from 1 species
AUGCUUCUAGCCGUGCAACAUCAUCGAAUGGGUUAUGACAUUUGCGCUGAGAUGGAGUGGUGGCGAUACUUCACCGUCACGCUAUUUCAGGUGAACGUGCAUGGUGGGGAUCUCAUUCCGGUGAACAGCCUUGGUGAUGAGGCCUUGUUCCUAGGGAAAGACCGCUGCCUGUCGAUCUCCACCAUGAACCUCCCUUGCAUCAGCGGCAACUCUGUUUACUCAUAUGUAUCAAACAAGGAUCCCGUUGUGUUGCAUUCUCUAGGCAGUGGUUCUUCUGAGCACACAACAAUGUACACAAAGGUGCAUUAUUCGAAUAAGAUGGUUCGUCCAUCCGUGCGGCCUUUCACGCUUCCAGAUCAUCUUAUGACAUAUUGUCAUAAUCUUCAAUGGACAAGGGGCCUGAUGCUUCAUGAAUAUGCUGCCAUUCCUUCAUAUCUGAGUGAUCUGCGAGAGAAAAUACACGCACACGAAUCUGAUAUCAGGUUCCCGUAUUUAGGGGGCUUUGGCAAAAAGGCUCGUAAGACCAAGCGUGUGCGUGCUGUUGUGAAGAAGAACCAGCGCCUCUGUGCUUAG